CAGGCAGUCAGCAUGUCACAGGACCCAGAAGCUAAAAGGUUCAGUACAGUGUCGAGGAGGACCGGGGCCAGCAGUAAACCUUUCCAUUUCACCAUUAAGGAUGAUAUGCUUGGAGAUUUAUACAGAUACCCUUUAUCAGAUACUCCCCUUGGUAAACAAUUCUGAUUUUCUACUUGCACUGAAGAAAGAAGUGGCAAAGGGGGGCUUAACUCCAGAGCUUGCUUGUUUGAUCCAGAGGUUGAGUGGUGCCAUAGAAUUGGGGUCCUUGGCAUCGCUAUGCUGUGCUUUUUCAUGGAGCUAUUUUUAUCCAGGUACUAGCUCCUUAGAGAUGGAGAGAUGGCGAUCAGCAAUUCCUGUGGCUACUUGCUUCUUCCUCCUCCAAGCCCAGGAAGAGGGUCUCUGCAAGUUCCCUUAGAAGGGUGGGAAAACAUCUUCCCUCCCUCAAACCCCAGGACACCUCUCUUCUGUGUCUCACGUGGCUGGG